ensembl:lncRNA
CUUGCUUACAGUGAGCACAACAGCAGCAGCGAUAGCAGUAAUGCCGAAGCUGACACAGGAAUCCACUAGAUGUCUCUGGAGCUUGUUCAGUUUCUCCUUCAUUAAUCUGCUCUUGAUUGAUUUUGGUUGAAGCUUGUUGUAAUACCUGGACUGUUGGAUGGCCUGCGAAAAUGUCUAUCUGAUGUUUUUGAUUUGUCUUGUUGCUAGUUGUCAGUGUCACUUUUUCUCUAAUGUGGAGUUUCUCAAAUUGACUGAACAUACACAUUUUAAGUUGUUGGAGCUCUAAGUAUUUUUCAUUGAGAGAUUUGUGGUCUCCAUUCCAAUCAUUUUGAGAUAAUGUGUCCUCACUUUGAUCUUUUUCCAGCUUUGUCUUCUUUGGUGUCUUUCCUUUCUGUGACAAUGUUUUCUUUACAAACUGAUUGAUUACCUUUAGUCUUUUCUCCAGAUUGUUUCUCAUAUCAUGAGCACUGCACUUCAUAUGACUGAUCUCCUUUUGUUCAACUCUGGUACCCUUCCAGAUCUUUCUCAAACACUCUCUAUUUAACAUUUGCUGUUCUGUAAAGUCAUCUAUCUCUGCAGAUAACUCAGACACUUUUGCAAGUUUCUGUAUCUCGACAUUGAUCACUUCUUUACCUUCUGCUCUGAUCAGAACACCUUCCCUUUCAGGUUUCAGGGAGACAGCUGUUCCUCUAAGGUCACCUUGACCUCGACCAGAUUUCUGCUGAUGUUCCCAUUUGUCAGUCUGAGUCACGCAAGGUGAUUGCUGAACAUCCUUCUUACAUUCAGAUUCUUUAAAUUCUCUCAAGUCCAGCCUUUCACCAUCGUGUUCAUGCAAGCAUUCUUGUACUGCAGCCACAGUUUGAACUGCUUUGUGUAGCUUUCCUUUCAACAUAUAUGUCUUUUCGCAUUGUAUCUGACAAUAAUAAGAAGUGAUCAGAUUAAUCAGCUGAUCAAUUUCAGCACACUUGUGUCCCAAUGUAGUGAGUAGCUUUAGUAUGGUUCUACUUUUGUGCUCAAAUCUGUCAAUAUUCAUACAAGACACUUUAUAUGUCUUUUGAUUGAGAAGUUCUAGUAUGCUUCUCAAAUGUACAAUUGUGUUAAGGACAAUGCAAAAUUGGUCCUGUGUAAUUAUGAUCUCAGAGCGUGUUUCUUUCAUCUCCUCACGUUCAUUUAAAAACAUUUCUUUCACAGGGUCAAUGCAUUUCAUCAUUUGACAUGUUAUUUUGUUUUUUGGGGUUGUCUCAGGAGGAUAAUUUUUUUCUUGGGUGGUUGUAAGUUCAGCCAUCGUGAUUUCUAACGUGUCCAAUGUGAAACUCUUCUUCUGAACUUCUGAUUUGUCUCCUUCGAAUAGCACUUUCUUCUUGGUACUUUCCAGUUCUUGUGGUUGUUUGUUGACAUCAGCAUUCUUGAAUUCAUGUUGUUUUUGUUUCAGUGCCAUCAUCUUCAUCAUUUCCUCCAGGCUCCUCUGAUUUGUUUGUAGCUGGAGGUUGAGGUCAUUCAUUUUGGUCUUCUCUCUGUUGAUUUCAUCAAACAAGUUGUCUGCAUGUUCUUUCUUCUCUUGUAGCUCAGCCAUUGUGAUCUCCAACACAUUCUUUUCAUCUUUCAUAUCUUGUUUCUCUUGUUUUAAUGUGUCAGAUUGUUUGAGGAUUUCCGAUCUCAUCAGCUCCAAGUCCACUUUCUCUUUGUUCAUCAUUUCACUGGCUUUAUUCAGAUGCUCUCUCUCUUCUUUCAACUCUGCUUUCAG